UACGAAGGGGGCUAGCGUUGCUCGGAAUUACUGGGCGUAAAGCGCACGUAGGCGGAUUGUUAAGUCGGGGGUGAAAUCCUGGAGCUCAACUCCAGAACUGCCUUCGAUUCUGGCGAUCUCGAGUUCGGGAGAGGUGAGUGGAACUGCGAGUGUAGAGGUGAAAUUCGUAGAUAUUCGCAAGAACACCAGUGGCGAAGGCGGCUCACUGGCCCGAUACUGACGCUGAGGUGCGAAAGCGUGGGGAGCAAACAGG
rnacentral:rRNA from 1 species